rnacentral:rRNA from 1 species
UCGCUCCUACCGAUUGAGUGAUCCGGUGAAUAAUUCGGACUGCUGCAGUGUUCAGUUCUGAGCAUUGCGGCGGAAAGUUUAGUGAACCUUAUCACUUAGAGGAAGGAG